CCUCACAGAAACAAACUGUUGAUAUGUUCCCAUGAAUCAUAUUUAUAGGCCCGUGAAAUUUCACAUGUUAGAUAUCCGCCUGCAUUGUGGAAAAUGAGGUCACUCGAUGAGGGCUUCGCCCUGCAGUGAGUCGAAAUAGGUUCAUUAUGAUGAUUAUGUGACCAACUAGUACAUUGCUCUGACACUUAUGCACUGCAAGGAGCCCUCGGGACUGUAAAUGAGGGUGAUAACAUAUAACUUCAAACCACAAGUAGCAAACCAUAAGCAGCAAAGCUAGCUUUCGUCUUUAAUAGGAAAAGUAAACUAUACCCAGCAAACCAUAAAUGUCCGUUGGACGUACCACAAAAGACCGAAUAUCCAAUACAUUUAAUGACGUCUAGUUCACAUCUAUACAAUCUUGCACUAGUACAUGACAAUCAAGGGUCAUCCGAAGGACAUCGAAUGUGUUAGUGACUUGGACAUCUCAUGCAUACCCAAAGCUUCCGCGCAUUGAUUGCACAUAGUGUGCACAUGUUCGAGAUCCUACGAGAGGGCGAAUGUGUCCCCGAAUUGCGAAAUAUCCAUCUGUUCACUUUGAAAAUAUUCAGUUUGCAGCAUUGGCCCAGAACUUCAGCUAUGGCAGCAUUUAUUUUUUUGCGACGUGGUUAUGAGUAGCAAUUUUGCACGACCUCCGCACGCAAUAUGUGACACCGCGCGUCAGAAACCAAAACUUUCGGCUUCGGUUAUGCCGUUUUUUUUUGCACGCAUAAACGCUUUGUUUUUCAGUUAUACACUGUUAAAAAUGUGUAAUAUUCAACUUGCUGAUAUAUUACGACAGUUUAUGAGGAAAAAAGAAGCUUUAACUGGCAUUAUCCUUGACUUCACAUCGCCACUGAUAUCACUUCACCGCGCGCCUCGACGCAGGUGCAAAAUAAUUUUCCGCGCGCGAGGAGCAUGAAAUGAGCUUCGUCGGUGACUUUUCGACUUUUGUUCGGUUGACCAUGGACCAAGAGGAAGAAGCAGCCGGACUGAGACGUUUGAGUUGGCCGUCCUGUGCAGUAGUAACAUAUACAGAGCCUGAAAGGCACUCCCGAAUCCUGGAACCACAGUUGCACCACUUACUGGAACAAGUCCCACCCACUCCCCGCCCCCGUGAGGCUGCUCACCGAAGUCGGGGAAGGAGCACUGGCGGAAUCGUACGGAUGACGUGGUGUCCCCGACGCCGAUGGCAGCGGCCCCAAGGCGGUAUGGCGUCCACCUCGACGGUGAUCUCCGAGUAGGAGACCACC